rnacentral:tRNA from 11 species
GCCCGGUUAGCUCAAUCGGUAGAGCGUGAGACUCUUACUCAGAGUACACGAUCUCAAGGUUGCGGGUUCGACCCCCGCAUCGGGCU